rnacentral:siRNA from 1 species
UGGCUUGCGAUGUAGAAGCC